GGACACCCUAGAACUGGGAGAUUUUGAUUCCCACCGCCACUCUUACCCUGCACUGGAAGCAGAAGGAUCGGGAAGAGCAUCCCUCGCGGCUCGCGGAGGGCGAGGCGAGGUGCGGAUGAAGGAUGCUGGAGAGCUGCUUUAGGACCAGCCUGGAGAACCUGCACUUCUUCUUCCUGAGGGCGAUGGGGAGCCAUGGAAGGUUUCCAGAGCUGAACUAGCAUCAUCUGGAGCCCUGUAAAGUCCUGAGAAACGAAGGCAGCAAAGGGCCUGAUUGUGGAAAAACCACAGGGAGUGGGCAUCACGGAGGCAGGCACAUCUGGAAAAGGCUGGACAGGAUGGGCAUCCACGGAGGAGGAGGCUGGGAGCCCUAAGCCUGGAAGGCUGGGUCUGCGGUCGCAGAAGCAUCUCUGAGCCGUUCCUUGGGAAGGAAGAGGACAAUACGUGGAAGAAAUCAAGGAGAGAAGCGCCAGUGGCAGAGGUUCCACAUGAAACCAGAGCUGGGGAAUGAGCAAGCCCCGCGGGGCAGGGGCAGGCGGGGAUGAAGGCAGUGUGGGGCAGGGAGUGCCCGGGCGGGACAUCGGAAGACUGGUCCAGCCCCUGCUGCAAGCUCUGCAGGACUGUGGGCAUCUCCGGCCCUCAGGGUCCUCACUCCCCAAAGCAGAGGCUGCUCCCAGACCUGCCCCGAGGGCAAGGAAAGUGGAAGGAGAUUGUGGGGUGUGUAGCAUCCUGCUAAGUUCUCCUGAAGAAAGGGAAGCAUUCUGAGCAUCGCGGUUAAUGUUCCCAAGGGACAAGCAAGCUUGGUCCUGGAGGAACCUCUGCAGGGAGGGAGCUGGGCCUGAGUCCCCGCCCACAGCUCUGAGCAGGCACCUUGCUCCGAGGUCCUGUCCUGCAGAUUCACAGUCCCGGCUGGUUACUGAUCUAGCCACGUGGGAAUACACAGAAGUCCCACCCUCGUAGCACUUCUCAUGCCCCAUCUCCACCCAUCCACCAGCUCACCGGGUCCUUGCCCCCUGCCUAGGAAACAGGCUGGCAGAGACCUGCUAUAGCUUCCGAGGGCGACUUAUCUCAAGCCAUGCGGCUGCUAAGUGGAUAAGGCAGGUCUGGACCCCUGACUUCAAAGGCCAGCCUUCGGGCCGCGGGGCCUGUUUGUUGCCUAACAAAUGAAGGUGACCUGCAGCCACAGACCGUGCUGGCAUCACUCACAGCCCAGGCUAACAUUUCUUCUCACCUGCUCUGUGCCAGCUGUUCUUCUAAGCGCCAAACAAAGCAUUGUGUUCAGUUCUCACAUCAACACUAUGAAGUAGGUGCUGUUAUCAUCUCCUGUUUUAUGGGGAAACAGAGGCACAGAGAGGGUAGGUAACUUGCCUGGUGUCACAAAGCCAGGAAGUGGCAGAGCCGGGAUGUGACCCCAGGCAGUCUGGCUCCAGACUCCGUGUUCUCAAAUACUAACCAUGCGCAGGCUCCUUGGGGGACAGGUGUGUGCUGAUUACCUUCUUCUUUCCUGAGAUCAUCCCUUGGCAGGGAGGCUGGAAAGCCCUGGACCUGUGGUGGGAAAGGCAGCAGCAGGGUUCUGGCUUGAGGCUUGUGUCUCUGGGUACUGUUGGAUUUCAUGUGUCACCGGUAGUUGACAAGAGCAGGGCGCCCCCCAGUCUCCUAGGCUCCCCAGCUAACUAAGAGGCACCAUCAUCCACCUGUCUUGAGGGCCAGGAUCCUGGGAACCCUUGACCCCUGGCCCCUUGCUCUCUUCCCCUACAGCCCACGCCUCUGCAGGUGGAGCCAGUGCUGCACCAGGAACCGCUUGACUCUGUCCCCUCUCUCUCUGCCGCCCUCUGCCACCCUCGUGGAUUAAUACCUUCCAGAAGGUCUCCCUGUGUCCCUCUCCUCCCUCCCAUCCAUCCUCUGCACAGCUGCUGGAGGGAUUUCCUUAAAAUGCACAUCGAAUCACAUCACUAUACAGCUUAAAGACUCUUCACUGUAAUUAAAUAAAACCCAGAUUUGAAGCUCCUGCAUGACCGAGCCCCUGUCAACCUCUCCAGCAUCAUCUGUGCCGCUUGACCCCUCGGUCACCACCCCCAGAGAGACUGGUUCAGUUCCUGCACCACACGAUGGGAUUUUCCUCCCCAGGGCCUUUGCACAUGCUGUUGCCCCUGCCUAGACCCGUUGUCUCUCAUCCUUCCCGAGGUUAACACCUUCUCAUAAAUAUCACCUCCUCAGAGCUGUCUUCUCCGGUCCCUCUCUUGUUGAUUUCCUUCAUAUCACUUGUUAUGACUUGGAAUUA